rnacentral:rRNA from 1 species
CAAAAACAUGUCUUUUUGUAUUUUAUUAAAAGUUUAACCUGCCCACUGAAGUUUAAAUGGCCGCAGUAUUUUAACUGUGCAAAGGUAGCAUAAUAAUUAGUCUUUUAAUUGGAGGCUGGAAUGAAUGGUUGGACGAAAUAUAAACUGUUUCAUAAAAAUUUAAUUAGAAUUUUAUUUUUUAGUAAAAAAGCUAAAAUUUUUUUAAAAGACGAGAAGACCCUAUAAAUCUUUAUAUUUAAUUAAUUAUAAUUAUUUAGAUAAUUUUUAUUAUAAUUAUUAUAAUAUUUUAUUGGGGUGAUAUUAAAAUUUAAUUAACUUUUAAUAUUUUAAACCAUUAAUUUAUGAAUAAUUGAUCCAUUAUUAAUGAUUAUAAGAAUAAGUUACUUUAGGGAUAACAGCGUAAUUUUUUUGGAGAGUUCUUAUUGAUAAAAAAGAUUGCGACCUCGAUGUUGGAUUAAGAUAUAAUUUUAGGUGUAGUCGCUUAAAUUUUAAGUCUGUUCGACUUUUAAAUUCUUAC